GACGAACGCUGGCGGCGUGCUUAACACAUGCAAGUCGAACGGAAAGGCCCUGCUUGUGUGAGGUGCUCGAGGGGCGGACGGGUGAGUAACACGUGAGUAACCUGCCCUUGACUGUGGGAUAACUUCAGGAAACGGGGGCUAAGACCGGAUAGGCGCUCCUGCUGCAUGGUGGGGGUUGGAAAGUGCGGGCGGUUGGGGAUGGACUCGCGGUUUAUCAGCUUGUUGGUGGGGGGGUGGCUUACCAAGGCUUGGAUGGGCGGCCGGCCGGGGAGGGUGCCCGGCCAAUUGGGGCUGGAGAUACGGCCAAGACUCCUCCGGGGGGCAGAGGUGGGGAAAAUUGCACAAUGGGCGGAAGCCUGAUGCAGCACCGCCGCGUGGGGGAUAACGGCUUUGGGUUUGAAAACCGCUUUAGCAGGUGACGAAGCGUUAGUGACGGUAAUGGGUAAAGAAGCACCGGCUAACUACGUG
rnacentral:rRNA from 1 species